rnacentral:rRNA from 1 species
CUGAUGGUAGUCUAUUAGUCUACCAUGGUUAUUACGGGUAACGGAGAAUAAGGGUUCGACUCCGGAGAGGGAGCCUUAGAAACGGCUACCACAUCCAAGGAAGGCAGCAGGCGCGAAACUUAUCCAAUCUUGAAUAGAUGAGAUAGUGACUAAAAAUAAAAAGACCAUUCCUAUGGAACGGUCAUUUCAAUGAGUUGAUCAUAAACCUUUUUUCGAGGAUCAAGUGGAGGGCAAGUCUGGUGCCAGCAGCCGCGGUAAUUCCAGCUCCACUAGUGUAAAUCGUCAUUGCUGCGGUUAAAAAGCUCGUAGUUGGAUCUGAGUCGCAUGCAGUAGUUCGCCUUUGGCGUUAAUUAUUGUUGUGACUAUUUGCUGGUUUUCUAUUGAAAUCUCGAUUUCUUUAGUGGCUAGCGAGUUUACUUUGAAUAAAUUAGAGUGCUCAGAACAAGCGUUUGCUUGAAUGAUCGAUCAUGGAAUAA